CACCAGUGGCGAAGGCGGCUUGCUGGGUCAUAAACUGACGCUAAGGCACGAAAUCGUGGGUAGCAAACAGGCUUAGAUACCCUUGGUAGUCCACACGGUAAACGAUGUACACUAGGUGUUGGGACAAUAGUUUCAGCGCCGUAGCAAACGUGAUAAGUGUACCGCCUGGGGAGUAUGCCGGCAACGGU
rnacentral:rRNA from 1 species